UACGGAGGGGGCUAGCGUUGUUCGGAAUUACUGGGCGUAAAGCGCACGUAGGCGGCUUUGUAAGUUAGAGGUGAAAGCCCGGGGCUCAACUCCGGAAUUGCCUUUAAGACUGCAUCGCUAGAAUUGUGGAGAGGUAAGUGGAAUUCCGAGUGUAGAGGUGAAAUUCGUAGAUAUUCGCAAGAACACCAGUGGCGAAGGCGGCUUACUGGUCCGGUUCUGACGCUGAGGCGCGAAAGCGUGGGGAGCAAACAGG
rnacentral:rRNA from 1 species